UUUGAAUCAUUUUUUAAUCCUUGUGGGAUUUUCAUAUGCACAUCUUUGAGGACUCCGUUCAAAAUCACAUUCUUGAUAACAAGUUAAUUUAAGUUCUCAUUCUUUCUUCACUGCUAAGGAAAGAAGAAUCCUUACAAUGCUUAACUUGAACAUUAAAGCAAAUGUUUCUUAAUAGUCUUUCCCAUAAGACUGAGUGAAGUCUUUAGGCUCCGUUUGGGGCAGCUUAAAAGUGCGGCGAAGUUUUCAAAACGCUGCCUUUCUGUUUGAUUCGCAAGUUCUGCCAGCGUUUUUAAAACUGCUUAUUUAAUUUCUUAAUGAACACGGGAUGCAGGGUCAACCCCGCGUUCCACGUUCGUUCGGGAUUCUUUACUCCGCUGCCCUCGACCUCAGAAGAAGGCGCAAACAGGCAGAUUUAAAAACGCAAGGAUGAAGAUGGGAGUUUCGGUGGUCUAUGUAAUUUGGUCUUCUCGCCCAUAAUAACGAAUCACCGCUUCUCGCCGGAGAACCCCAGUCCACCGCCGCAGACAUUGCUCACCAAGCGCACAAUCUCCACCAUCGCUUCAUAAGACGACCCACCCUCCCGCAGCGCCGCCCUUCCGCUAUCGCCAACCACAGCGGCCCGAGCUCUCAGCUCCUUACCUCCCUCAGACUCCAUCAACCAAUGGACUCGCUCCUCUAUUUCAUCGAAUCCACCAGUCCCUUCUUAUAACCUCGCAUUUCCACCACAAGUUUCACCUCCUCAACCAAGAACACCUUGUUCAUCCGCUGCUCCGCGUAAAGGAACCACGUGAUCAUCGUCACUCCGGCCACAAUCAAUUCCAGUGCUGAGUUCUACCCGCAGUCAGUCUUCCCAGUGGCCACCGAUAUCAAUUUCAAUUUCGAAAGUUAACCAGUUUGAUGCUGCAAGGUUGGAUGUGGAAAUGUCUGCUAUGUUGAAGGAGAAGCAAGUUAGAGUAUUUUAUUUAUUGAAGGGCUACCACUGUAGGACAGGAAGGUCUGUGAUCUUUAGCUUUUUUCUGCUCUGUUGAAGUAAACAGAGCUAAUUUCAUUUAAUGCAUUGAUACUUGAGCUGUUAUAGCAUUUGAUUAUAUUA